rnacentral:rRNA from 1 species
AUUGAACGCUGGCGGCGUGCCUUACACAUGCAAGUCGAACGGCAGCACGGGAGCAAUCCUGGUGGCGAGUGGCGAACGGGUGAGUAAAGUAUCGGAACGUGCCCAGUCGUGGGGGAUAACGUAGCGAAAGUUACGCUAAUACCGCAUACGAUCUAUGGAUGAAAGCGGGGGAUCGCAAGACCUCGCGCGACUGGAGCGGCCGAUAUCAGAUUAGGCAGUUGGUGGGGUAAAGGCUCACCAAGCCGACGAUCUGUAGCUGGUCUGAGAGGACGACCAGCCACACUGGAACUGAGACACGGUUCAGACUCCUACGGGAGGCAGCAGUGGGGAAUUUUGGACAAUGGGCGAAAGCCUGAUCCAGCCAUUCCGCGUGCAGGAUGGAGGCCCUCGGGUUGUAAACUGCUUUUGUACAGAACGAAAAGGUUUCUACUAAUACUAGGAGCUCAUGACGGUACUGUAAGAAUAAGCACCGGCUAACUACGUGCCAGCCGCCGCAGUAA